rnacentral:rRNA from 1 species
ACGAACGCUGGCGGCGUGCUUAACACAUGCAAGUCGAGCGGUAAGGCCCUUUCGGGGGUACACGAGCGGCGAACGGGUGAGUAACACGUGGGUGACCUGCCCUCAGCUCUGGGAUAAGCCUGGGAAACCCGGUCUAAUACUGGAUAUGACUCCAUGACGCAUGUUGUGGGGUGGAAAGCCUUGUGCGGCUGAGGAUGGGCCCGCGGCCUAUCAGCUUGUUGGUGGGGUGANGGCCUACCAAGGCGACGACGGGUAGCCGGCCUGAGAGGGCGACCGGCCACACUGGGACUGAGACACGGCCCAGACUCCUACGGGAGGCAGCAGUGGGGAAUCUUGCGCAAUGGGCGAAAGCCUGACGCAGCGACGCCGCGUGAGGGAUGACGGCCU